GUCAGUGUGAGCAUAUUGAUCUUUCAUAUCGAUGUGUGUGAAUGUCUGUGUGUAUACAUCUUUCAGUGCGUAGGUGUGUCAGUGUUAGCAUAUUGAUCUUUCAGUGCGUAGGUGUGUUAAUGUUAGCAUAUUGAUCUUUCAGUGCGUAGGUGUGUUAAUGUUAGCAUAUUGAUCUUUCAGUGCGUAGGUGUGUUAAUGUUAGCAUAUUGAUCUUUCAGUGCGUAGGUGUGUUAAUGUUAGCAUAUUGAUCUUUCAGUGUGUAGGUGUGUGUGUGUGAGCAUAUUGAUCUUUCAGUGCGUAGGUGUGUUAAUGUGAGUGUAUAGAUCUUUGUGUAUUAUAUGUCUUUAUUUAGAUGAUUGUCAGCCUUUGUAGACCUAGAUCUGUGUGUGUGUGUGUGUGUGUGUGUGUGUGUGUGUGUGUGUGUGUGUGUGUGUGUGUGUGUGUGUGCGUGUCUGUGUAUACCUGUGUAUACCUGUAUAUAUAGUGUUUGAGUGUGUUAAGGUGUUAAUUUAGACCUUUGUGUAUGUAAUUGACUUAAGGUUAAAGACCUUUGUAUACCUUAGUAUUAACCUUGCUAAUGUGGGCAUCUACAUCUGUGUGUGUUUAUGUGUCUUAAU
ensembl:lncRNA